rnacentral:rRNA from 1 species
UGCAAGUCGAGCGAAUGGAUUAAGAGCUUGCUCUUAUGAAGUUAGCGGCGGACGGGUGAGUAACACGUGGGUAACCUGCCCAUAAGACUGGGAUAACUCCGGGAAACCGGGGCUAAUACCGGAUAACAUUUUGAACCGCAUGGUUCGAAAUUGAAAGGCGGCUUCGGCUGUCACUUAUGGAUGGACCCGCGUCGCAUUAGCUAGUUGGUGAGGUAACGGCUCACCAAGGCAACGAUGCGUAGCCGACCUGAGAGGGUGAUCGGCCACACUGGGACUGAGACACGGCCCAGACUCCUACGGGAGGCAGCAGUAGGGAAUCUUCCGCAAUGGACGAAAGUCUGACGGAGCAACGCCGCGUGAGUGAUGAAGGCUUUCGGGUCGUAAAACUCUGUUGUUAGGGAAGAACAAGUGCUAGUUGAAUAAGCUGGCACCUUGACGGUACCUAACCAGAAAGCCACGGCUAACUACGUGCCAGCAGCCGCGGAAAUACGUAGGUGGCAAGCGUUAUCCGGAAUUAUUGGGCGUAAAGCGCGCGCAGGUGGUUUCUUAAGUCUGAUGUGAAAGCCCACGGCUCAACCGUGGAGGGUCAUUGGAAACUGCGAGACUUGAGUGCAAAAGA